AUAUUUUGGGUAGUAGAAGCAGUAGUUACAAGGGUAGUGGUGUCUUUUGUGGUGGUGGUGGCACCUGCUGCAGUUGUUCAUAUUUGGGGUGCAGGAGUAGGGAGGGUAGGAUCAGUUGGAGAAUUUACAGGGAAAAAUGGAGGUCCAGGUGGAUAGGGUCUUGGUCGGGAAGGAGGCUGUGGAUAACCUGGGGCAUCAGGAUGGAGUGGUGGAUAGGGUCUUGGUUGGGAAGGUGGCUGUGGAUAACCUGGGCCAUAAGGAG
rnacentral:lncRNA from 1 species